GAGAAACCCAAAAGAUCGAAUGGGGAGAUUCAUCGUCAGCCGCUUUGGCUUCCGUGUGAACGCGAUGAUCGGGGCUUCGGCUCUGCGUCACGCGUUUGCUGCGGCAUGUCUGGAGUGGUCGGCGUGCACUUCUCCCCUAGUAGGACGUCGCGAUUCGUUGGGUGUCGGUUUACGGACCGGUAGGUCGCCUGGCGUAUCUCGUUCACGCGAGUUUGUGUCAGACCUCUGGAUUCCCAACCGGCUGCCCGGCGGUAUAAAACGAUAAUUAAACGGUAUUGGGCCGCAUUGAAUGCGUUCAGGCUCGUAGGCAGGCUUGUCUCGCUCGGAUUUACGGACCUAGUGCCGUUGCCGGGUGCUUGGCGAACUGUGGCUUGCGAUGUCCUCGGACUGGCUCUUGAAUAUUCUUACGAAUAUACCGAUCGGCGACGCUACUGCUUUGGGUACUUUCAGGACCCGUCUUGAAACACGGACCAAGGA
rnacentral:rRNA from 1 species